AGAACUCAAAAAGCAGAAAGCCUUCCAAAAAUCAAAGUUCUUAGAGUUAAUUCUGGGGUUCUUUCUUCUUUGAAUUUGUUGGUGCCCAACGUCUAUUUUUGGGUCAUUUCAUUGGUUUAAAAGCUGCUGGUUGUUGCUAUUUUGCUGUCUUGCUGGGCGUCAUUUUCAUUAUUACUGUUUAUUUAUUUUCUGCGAUCCA
rnacentral:lncRNA from 1 species